UACGUAGGCAGCGAGCGUUGUUCGGAAUUAUUGGGCGUAAAGGGCUCGUAGGCGGUUUGUCGCGUCGGGAGUGAAAACCCAGGGCUUAACUCUGGGCUUGCUUUCGAUACGGGCAGACUAGAGGCAUGCAGGGGAGAACGGAAUUCCUGGUGUAGCGGUGAAAUGCGCAGAUAUCAGGAGGAACACCGGUGGCGAAGGCGGUUCUCUGGGCAUGUCCUGACGCUGAGGAGCGAAAGCGUGGGGAGCGAACAGG
rnacentral:rRNA from 1 species